AUUUGGUACCGCUUGCAGGGCGGCGACCACGAGUUACCUGCCCCUAUACAAUGAGUUAAUUGCCCCUGUAUUUCAUCUGUUAAGUUGUACUUAAAAUAGGCUAACUCUUGCGCAAAAAAAGAUAGAAAAUAUCAAAUAUGGGAAAGCGGGACGAUAGACCAAACAUAUCUACGAAGAGACCGUUGGUGCCGGAAAUAUCUCUGUCUUUAGUAGUGUCCGCGAGGUAUAUUAAUUUAUAAAACAUGAGGUAUUAGUACCAUAUUGCCCGGGAAUCAAAAGAUUUUUGCAAGAUCGCAGAAUUCAGCUAGACACAAAAAAAAAAGACAAUCACUACAGCCUUCCAAGAAGAUGGACUGCCUCACAAUAGUUUCCUUGAGGACUGUCUUGAAAUAUCCAGAGUUUAAGAUUCAAGAAACGGACUCUAUCUGGAAAAGGAAAACAAUAUCAAAGCUCCUCUGUGAGAAGUUGGCCAAGGAAAGCAUUCAGAAGAAAGUGGAGAUUCAUUGUUUUUACCAGACCCAGCAGAUCACAGAAAGCAUCUAGUAGGGGAGUUUCCAGGAUUAAGCCAGCCAGUAGAUGAGACUAUUAUAUCAAAAAUACAUUUACUUGUACACGAGGGCACACAAAGCGUUGAUGAAACAAAAAGACAUUUCCGUCUGUUUGUAAAGGAUACUAUUUCACCAGGGAACACCAUCUCAGAAUUUAACAGAUGCUUUUACCCCGCCAAUAAGGAUGUAAGAAAUCACAUUUACAGGGCACCGAGAUUUUGCCAG